rnacentral:rRNA from 1 species
GACGAACGCUGGCGGCGUGCUUAACACAUGCAAGUCGAACGGAAAGGCCCUGCUUUUUUGGGGUGCUCGAGUGGCGAACGGGUGAGUAACACGUGAGUAACCUGCCCUUGACUUUGGGAUAACUUCAGGAAACUGGGGCUAAUACCGGAUAGGAGCUCCUGCUGCAUGGUGGGGGUUGGAAAGUUUCGGCGGUUGGGGAUGGACUCGCGGCUUAUCAGCUUGUUGGUGGGGUAGUGGCUUACCAAGGCUUUGACGGGUAGCCGGCCUGAGAGGGUGACCGGCCACAUUGGGACUGAGAUACGGCCCAGACUCCUACGGGAGGCAGCAGUGGGGAAUAUUGCACAAUGGGCGGAAGCCUGAUGCAGCAACGCCGCGUGCGGGAUGACGGCCUUCGGGUUGUAACCCGCUUUCGCCUGUGACGAAGCGUGAGUGACGGUAAUGGGUAAAGAAGCACCGGCUAACUACGUG